UACGUAGGGGGCAAGCGUUGUCCGGAAUCAUUGGGCGUAAAGCGCGUGUAGGCGGCUCGGUAAGUCCGCUGUGAAAGUCGGGGGCUCAACCCUCGGAUGCCGGUGGAUACUGUCGGGCUUGAGUACGGAAGAGGCGAGUGGAAUUCCUGGUGUAGCGGUGAAAUGCGCAGAUAUCAGGAGGAACACCAAUUGCGAAGGCAGCUCGCUGGGACGUUACUGACGCUGAGACGCGAAAGCGUGGGGAGCAAACAGG
rnacentral:rRNA from 1 species